AUUGAACGCUGGCGGAAUGCUUUACACAUGCAAGUCAAACGGCAGCACGGACUUCGGUCUGGUGGCGAGUGGCGAACGGGUGAGUAAUACAUCGGAACGUGCCCAGUCGUGGGGGAUAACGUAGCGAAAGCUACGCUAAUACCGCAUACGAUCUACGGAUGAAAGCGGGGGAUCGCAAGACCUCGCGCGAUUGGAGCGGCCGAUGGCAGAUUAGGUAGUUGGUGGGGUAAAGGCUCACCAAGCCGACGAUUUGUAGCUGGUCUGAGAGGACGACCAGCCACACUGGGACUGAGACACGGCCCAGACUCCUACGGGAGGCAGCAGUGGGGAAUUUUGGACAAUGGGCGCAAGCCUGAUCCAGCCAUUCCGCGUGCAGGAUGAAGGCCCUCGGGUUGUAAACUGCUUUUGUACGGAACGAAAAGGCUCUGGUUAAUACCCGGGGCUCAUGACGGUACCGUAAGAAAAAGCACCGGCUAACUACGUGCCAGCCGCCGCGGUAA
rnacentral:rRNA from 1 species